CAAACACAACAUAUCAAUAUACUUAAGAAACACUUAAUAACGACCCUAAUUUUAUCAAUAAUUUCUUUCAAUGUGCUACAAAACAUAUAAUUGAAAUUAAAUAGAGCAUUGGUUUGUUUACUAUAUAAAUGGAUUUAAAUCGAUUUCUAUUUGUGGCAUGCAUGCAUGCACAUGAAAAAAGCAUGACAAAAUUUUUCAAGUUUGUUUAUACUAUGAUCAUUUUACUUUUUGUGUUUUUUGUUGCAAUUGAGGCCUAUGGUCAAAAUUGUACCUCGGAUUGCUCAAGUAGUCCUUAUUUGCCUUAUGAAAAACCAGAAUGUUUGAAGGGUGAAUGUUUAUGCAUGUAUACUAAUUAAGUUGAAAAUAAUUUUUACUUCUAUGCCUA